CUCUCCCUGGUAUCUCACCGCUGCCUCCGUGCAGAAAACUUGGCGAUGCAGGAAAUUGCCAUUUGGACAGAAAUACCGUGGCACUGACUGAGUGCUUGACUAGUUCAGAUGGCUUGAAACCAUUUGGGUAACUCUCCUAGGAGGGACACUUAUUCCUUUAUCCCUCCACAUUGCUGUGACCUGUGCAGUUUACGUGCUGGAAAUCCGGACCAGAAAAAACAAGUGAGUGAUCGCCAGCUGCAGCAGCCGAGCAGCGUUUCAGGGAUUAUGGAAAAUCACAACACACAUCUGGCACCAGCCUUCACCC